rnacentral:rRNA from 1 species
UACGUAGGGUGCAAGCGUUAUCCGGAAUUAUUGGGCGUAAAGAGCUCGUAGGCGGUUUGUCGCGUCUGCUGUGAAAACUGGAGGCUCAACCUCCGGCCUGCAGUGGGUACGGGCAGACUAGAGUGCGGUAGGGGAGAUUGGAAUUCCUGGUGUAGCGGUGGAAUGCGCAGAUAUCAGGAAGAACACCCGUGGCUAAGGCGGCUCUCUAGUACGGUACUGACGCUGAGACGCGAAAGCGUGGGGAGCGAACAGG